UUAAUGCAUCCUAAAAGGAAUAGCUGGCAGCAGGAGCAUAAGUUUUUAAUGAUGACGCGAAGGAAAUCACAACUCAAGUGGGUAGAUCUGGAAAUCAAUGAGUUCUAGCUUGAAACGAAUAAAAAACUAACUAAAUCGAAGCGAAAGAGGGUGCCAGCAGCUGCGGUCACUCCCUCUCUCGAGGAGCUAAUAAGGGUGCAGCUUAGAGGCAGUUAGUCAAAAAUGUGUGACGCAAGACAUACAGCAAGGACUAUGGGUGAAAUCUCAGUCUUGCGGGAGGUCCAAAGCUUGCGUAAAGAUGAAUCUGCGAAGUUAUGGGCAUAGACCCGGAUUUGGUACCCGGUUAUUCCAUAAUGUCAAGUAUAGCUAUUUUAUUUGAAUUAAUAGUUUGCUAGGGGUACUACGAGCAACUGCUUAAAACUCGAAGAACUUGGCGGUUCCGCAUAACCAUCCAGAGGCUCUUGGCGCUUAAUCUGAUGAUCCGCGUGAUAUCUUACCUGCCCUAUAGAAAGCAGUGUACUGCCGUCGAAAGCUUAUGAUGUGAGUAAAUAAAAAUAGGCCCAAUCUUGGGGUUUUAAGUAAUUAAUAAUCAUGCCGAGGCUAGGUCAGGUCGAAGUGCUCCUUAUGGGCAAGGGGUUAGCUGAGAGACAAAUAUUUAGACAUAUAAAGAUUUUAGGGAUGAAAUUCUCUUAGUGUAUAUAAGGAUUUGGGAGUAAAAAGAGAGUAACUCGUUUUUUUGAAAAGACGCAACUGCGGUGCGUUCAAAUCGCCCGUCACCCUAGCCGAAAGGAGAGGUAAGUCGUAACAUGGUAAGGGUAGGGGAACUUGCUCUUUUAAUGAUAG
rnacentral:rRNA from 1 species